CGGAACGUUCGAUUAAGACAGCGAAAAUUCUCCGUUACAAGGUCCCAAUUUCAUAAGCGGAACGUUCGAUUAAGACAGCGAAAAUUCUCCGUUACAAGACUAGGUGUGCUGGUGCUGCUGCAUAAUCUCGAGCAUACGGGGACUAGGCUUGGGUAU